UUAAGCCCUCCUCCUGUCGCCGACGAUCCCACAGGGGCGAUCGCCUCUCAUCCUGACAGGAGAUUCCUGCCGUCACGCCCCUUGCAGCAGGCUGAAGGUGAUCCUUACCGCAAGGACCUGCAACUGCACGCGCACGGUGAGCAAGUCUUCAGACACCACGAAAGCGGCGAGGGUUUCGCGGGCGUUGUCUACCAGCCGCCUUCAUUGCAUGGUGUCUCUGAUGCCAGCUUGUACCGAAGUGGAUCGUACGAAGAACUUUCCGGAAACGUGAUACUAACAGCGGACUACGGUCAGACGGCUGAUCGAACUCUCCCUUCCCUCCAGCGCAAGCAUCACCCAACACUCGUCGUCGCUGGGCAAAACGACGUGCAGAAGCCAAAGAAGCAUAAAACACAACCCAGGAGUUGCAAACGUAACACCAACCAGAAAAAUGUGAGUGGCGAGGACUCCGAGGGCUAUCCUGAGAAGACAAAUGAUGCAACCGGCAUUGUGUAUGAGAAACAACUGAAUAAUAGACUUCUUCAACGCUCCGGCCAAACGUUCGAACUUUAUCGAGUUCAAGA